CACGCCGUAAACGAUGAUUACUGGGUGUAGGGGGUAUCGACUCCCUCUGUGCCGAAGCAAACGCGAUAAGUAAUCCACCUGGGGAGUACGGCCGCAAGGCUAAAACUCAAAGGAAUUGACGGGGGCCCGCACAAGCAGUGGAGUAUGUGGUUUAAUUCGAGGCAACGCGAAGAACCUUACCAGGGUUUGACAUCCCGCGCUCGGGGUAGAGAUACCCUUUUCCCUUCGGGGACGCGGAGACAGGUGG
rnacentral:rRNA from 1 species